GUGACACCUACGGAAAAGGCAGUCUAUUCAAAAAAAUUAUUUUUUUUUUUAAUUAUUUUUAUUUAAAAUAUAAUUUUUUGACUGAUGUCGUACGACUUUUAAAAAAUUUAGUUAUAUUUUCUUCAUUCUUUAUUUUUAAUGGAUACUGUAAAAAAUUUUGGUGUAAAAAUGACCCCCGAGAACUUUACACGCCCGUGUAGUGUCGAAACAGUGUAAAAAGUAAUCGGUGAAAAUUGUCCAUCCGUGUAAUUUUAAUACGGUGUAAUCUACUUUUUUUACACCAUUCCGGGUUAUUUAGUAUUUGAACAUUUAAAUAUUUUUAUGAUUAUUUUCUAAACGCAUGAAUGAGACGUUUACACACUUGAUAGUUUAAAAAUUUUUUACUCACACUACGUAAUUAAACACGAUACUUGGUGUAAUUUUUACACGAAGUCGCCUACACUACACCAAGCCCAAAAAUCUUUUACAAUGAAUAGAGCCACCUGAACUAGCAAACUAUAAUAUUAAAGCUGGGCUUUAUUUACAUUUCGUUGGUUGUUUAUUUAUAUUUUAUGCUAUCACAUGAGCAAUUGAGAUUUGUGGCCACUAUAUAUUUUAUUUAACAAAAAUGUAUACAAAAGCAUUAAUUUCCUGUUUAAUGUUGAGUUACAUUUCUCAAAUUAUCCCACCUGCUGAGACUACUUAUCGCAUGUCUCUUGGAAACGUUGUAGACGCGAUGGAUCGUGUCCAAUUUAAAAAGUUAUUGUUUCCCAUUGACCUUCACAUAGCACAACUACCAAAAAUUAUUACAGAUUUUCCUGCAGAAAUAGUUCAGAGUACAGAUUUACCUGCAGAAAUACUUCAGAGUACAGAUUUACCUGCAGAAAUACUCCAGAGUAUGGAUUUACCUGUAGAAAUUUCUCCGAGUACCGAUAUAACUGGACAUCCUCUUACGCCAGACGGACUCAUCGCUUAUAUACCAGAUUUUCCUCGCGUGAAAACUAGCAUGUGUUCACCAGGUGAAGAUCUUCUUGAGCAUGGGGCAUGUCUUCCUCCUAUGCAAUCGUCAAUUUAAUAAUUUAAAAAAAUAAAUUGUAACUCGCAAAUAUAUAUCUAUUUUGUACAUCAACAGUUCAAUUUUAUAUGGAUUCAUUUUUUUAAUAAUUUUGUAAGACCUACUUAUUGAUUAUCUUCCAACACAACGAUUACUUGAUAAUUUACUCAUUAAAUUAAUUGUAGGCCGAAAAAAUUUUUUAAUUAAUUUAUUUUAUUACCGAUAAAUUUUAACUUACGAAUAAUUAGUAUCUAUUUAUUACAAUUAAAAUUAAAU